CCCUUCGGGGUUAGUGGCGGACGGGUGAGUAACACGUGGGAACGUGCCUUUAGGUUCGGAAUAGCUCCUGGAAACGGGUGGUAAUGCCGAAUGUGCCCUUCGGGGGAAAGAUUUAUCGCCUUUAGAGCGGCCCGCGUCUGAUUAGCUAGUUGGUGAGGUAACGGCUCACCAAGGCGACGAUCAGUAGCUGGUCUGAGAGGAUGACCAGCCACACUGGGACUGAGACACGGCCCAGACUCCUACGGGAGGCAGCAGUGGGGAAUCUUGCGCAAUGGGCGAAAGCCUGACGCAGCCAUGCCGCGUGAAUGAUGAAGGUCUUAGGAUUGUAAAAUUCUUUCACCGGGGACGAUAAUGACGGUACCCGGAGAAGAAGCCCCGGCUAACUUCGUGCCAGCAGCCGCGGUAAUACGAAGGGGGCUAGCGUUGCUCGGAAUUACUGGGCGUAAAGGGCGCGUAGGCGGAUCGUUAAGUCAGAGGUGAAAUCCCAGGGCUCAACCCUGGAACUGCCUUUGAUACUGGCGAUCUUGAGUAUGAGAGAGGUAUGUGGAACUCCGAGUGUAGAGGUGAAAUUCGUAGAUAUUCGGAAGAACACCAGUGGCGAAGGCGACAUACUGGCUCAU
rnacentral:rRNA from 2 species